rnacentral:tRNA from 1 species
GGGGGUAUAGCUCAGCAAUAGAGCCCAUGCUUGGAAUGCAAGAGCUCCUGGGUUCAAUUCCCAAUGCCUCCA